GGGCAUAUGGUGUAACUGGUAACACCCCGGGACUCAUUAUCCGGCACCCGGAGUUGUCGGUUCGAUCCCGACUAUGUCCG
rnacentral:tRNA from 1 species